GCUUUUUGUUAAAAAUAAAAAGUAGGGUCUGCCCAGUGAGAAAUUUUUAACGGCCGCAAUAUUUGUGCGAAGGUAGCAUAAUCAUUUGUCUUUUAAUUGAUGACUGGAAUGAAUGGCUGGACGGGGAUAAGCUGUCUUAUAUAUAUAUAUUUGAAAUUUACUUUUAAGUAAAAAGGCUUAAAUAUUUUAGAGGGACGAGAAGACCCUAUUGAGUUUAAUAGAAUUUAUUUAAAUUUUUCUCAAAUUUUUAUUUAAACUAUUUAGUUGGGGAGAUUUGAUAUUAUUAACUAUAUAAGAAUUAAUGGACUUUAAGUUUUUAGGAUCCAUAUUUAAUGAGUAUUAAGGUAAAUUACCUUAGGGAUAACAGCGUAAUAUUUUUUUAGAGUUCAAAUCGAUUAAAAUGAUUACGACCUCGAUGUUGGAUUAAAGAACCUAAUUUGGAGAAGAUUUUAAUUUAGGUAGUCUGUUCGACUAUUAAAUCUUUACA
rnacentral:rRNA from 1 species